CGUAUCUCAAGAUCAAACUCUUGUAGCGACAACACCAAAUGAAUCAGGCGUGGCUUAGAGUCUUUCUUCUCUAUCAAGUAUCUAAGAGCUGCAUGUUCAGUGUAUACAAUUACCUUCGAUCCUAUCAGGUAGGAUCGAAACUUGUCGAAUGCAAACACCACAGCUAACAUCUUCUUCUUGGUCACUGUGUAAUUCAGUUGGGCCUCACUCAGCAUUCUACUUGCAUUGUAGAUUGGAUGCAUCAAUUUGUCCUUCCGCUGGCCCAGCACCGCCCCCACUGUAUAGUCACUAGCAUCACACAUUAGCUCGAAGGUUGCUCCUAGUUGGGGGAAACAAUGAUUGGUGUUGUGACCAGCUUUUGCUUCAGCUCUUCAAAUGCUACCCUGCAUGCAUCAGAAAAUAGAAACGGGUUAUCUUUUUCUAGCAACUUACAGAGAGGGUUGGCGAUUUUGGAGAAGUCUUUAAUGAACCGUUGGUAGAAACCGGCAUAUCCAAGAAAGCUUCUGAUUUUAUUGACCGUGGUUGGUGGAGGCAAUUUUCCUGUGACAUCAACUUUGGCUCGAUCGACUUCUAUCCCCUUGCUUGACACUCGGCGCCCCAAGACUAUGCCUUCUUGCACCAUGAAAUGGCACUUUUCCCAGUUCGAUACCACAUUAGUCUCAAUGCACCAUUUCAACACACGUGUCAGAUUCUCAAGGCACUUAUCAAACGAAUUCCCCACCGCGGAGAAAUCAUCCAUGAACACCUCCAUUAUGUCUUCAACCAUAUCAGUGAAAAUGGCCAUCAUGCACCGUUGGAAUAUGGCGCGUGCAUUGCAAAUGCCAAAUGGAAUCCUCCUGAAAGCAUAAAUGCCAUAAGGCCAUGUGAAGGAGGUCUUUUCGCUGUCCUCAGGUGCAAUGGAUAUCUGGUUGUAUCCUGAGUACCCGUCAAGAAAGCAAAAGUGUGACCUCCCUGCCAAUCUGUCCAGCAUCUGAUCAAUGAAGGGAAGUGGGAAGUGGUCUUUCCGGGUGGCAAGAUUCAACUUUCUAGUCCAUGCGUAUCCUCCAACCGGUGACGGUUCUUGUUGAGAUCAAUUCAUUUUUAUCAUUCUUCACAACCGUCAUGCCACCCUUCUUAGGCACAUAUUUAUCUGGGCUAACCCAGCUGCUGUCAGAAAUUGGGAAGAUGAUUCACGCUUCCUACCACUUUAUUACUUCCUUCUUCACCACUUCCUUCAUAUUCAGGUUUAGCCUUCUCUGAUGUUCCUUGGAAGGUCUAUGUCCCUCUGUCACGUAUCUCAAGAUCAAACUCUUGUAGCGACAACACCCAAUGAAUCAGGCGUGGCUUAGAGUCUUUCUUCUCUAUCAAGUAUAUAAGAGCUGCGUUCAGUGUAUACAAUUACCUUCGACCCUAUCAGGUAGGAUCGAAACUUGUCGAAUGCAAACACCACAGCUAACAUCUUCUUCUUGGUCACUGUGUAAUUCAGUUGGGCCUCACUCAGCAUUCUACUUGCAUUGUAGAUUGGAUGCAUCAAUUUGUCCUUCCGCUGGCCCAGCACCGCCCCCACUGUAUAGUCACUAGCAUCACACAUUAGCUCGAAGGUUGCUCCUAGUUGGGGGAAACAAUGAUUGGUGUUGUGACCAGCUUUUGCUUCAGCUCUUCAAAUGCUACCCUGCAUGCAUCAGAAAAUAGAAACGGGUUAUCUUUUUCUAGCAACUUACAGAGAGGGUUGGCGAUUUUGGAGAAGUCUUUAAUGAACCGUUGG
rnacentral:lncRNA from 1 species